AGGACGAACGCUUGCGGCGUGCCUAAGAAAUGCAAGUCGAGCGGGGGAGCAAUCCCUAGCGGCGAACGGUCGCGUAACACGUAAGCAACCUGCCCGAAAGACCGGGACAACAGCUCGAAAGGGCUGCUAAUACCGGAUGUGUCCGCUUUGCCUCAUGGCUUAGCGAGUAAAUCAUUUAUGGCUUUCGGAGGGGCUUGCGGCCUAUCAGCUAGAUGGCGGUGUAACGGACCACCAUGGCGACGACGGGUAGCUGGU
rnacentral:rRNA from 1 species